UACGUAGGGUGCGAGCGUUGUCCGGAAUUAUUGGGCGUAAAGAGCUUGUAGGCGGUCUGUCGCGUCUGCUGUGAAAAUCCGGGGCUCAACCUCGGACUUGCAGUGGGUACGGGCAGACUAGAGUGUGGUAGGGGAGACUGGAAUUCCUGGUGUAGCGGUGAAAUGCGCAGAUAUCAGGAGGAACACCGAUGGCGAAGGCAGGUCUCUGGGCCACUACUGACGCUGAGGCGCGAAAGCGUGGGGAGCAAACAGG
rnacentral:rRNA from 1 species